CAAUAGCAUAUAUUAACGUUGUUGCAGUUGAAAAGCUCGUAGUUGAACUUUUGGUAGGAGCGACCUGGCCCUGGGCGCAUGCCCUUGUUUGCCGUGUGUCGUAUCUGGCCAUCCUUUUCUUCUUUUUGGAAGGAAUCUUUUACUGUGAGUAAACUGGAGUGCUCAAAACAAGACGUUUGUUUGGUACAUUAAAGCAUGGAAUAAUAAGAUAGGACCUGGUUACUAUUUUGUUGGUUUGCAUAGCUAGGUAAUGAUUAACAGGGACAGUUGGGGGUAUUCGUAUUUAAUUGUCAGAGGUGAAAUUCCUGGAUUUAUGAAAGACGAACGACUGCGAAAGCAUUUACCAAGGAUGUUUUCAUUAA
rnacentral:rRNA from 1 species